GUGCUCCUAAUUUCCACGGUUACGCGUUAUGGGUGAUUAAAACUGACAGGAGUGGACAGUGGUUCCAUGGCCAGGAUGGGCACGGGUUUGCUGACCAUUCCUCAGGAGUCAUCACACCAGGAAGCCGGGACAGGAACAAGAUGUGCCUCUGAGGUUUGCCUUUCAAGGGGGCAGCAAGCAGCCCUCAGGGCUGUUGGCAGGAACUGGACAAGCUGAGGCCAGGGGCUGGGGGGCAGGUCAAAAAUAGUCAGAUAUUUGCAACACCUCUUCCUCCGAUCUCAGAAUAAUUACUCCAGGACACUGGGCUUAACGCAGGACUUCUCGAACAAACUGGGGCGUGCGGUCACCCAUUGGCUCGUGACCAUCCUGACGGCUUCUCCCCACUUACUUGCAACAUGAAGUCCCCCUCCCGCCCCACAGCCCCUCUGUCAUUAGGCUGAGGUAUAAAGAUUAAGUUAAUGGAGGGCGGAGAAAAUCAGCUUUGUUGGCAAAUUGUCUCUGAUAUUUAUUUUGAACAUUAAAACGAAUCAUUCCAACUAAAGAGGGCUGUAGAGUGCCGCCCAUUAAAAUGCAUGCAUUAUGUACGGCUCUGCCAGCUUCACCUCCAAGUAUGAUCAGCCUGAAAAGCAAACACAGCUCCUAAAGCCCCUUGUUUACGACAUCCGUGACAGCUGAUUAAUGGCCACAGUCCCCAGAUCUGAAAGCUUAGUAACCCGAGCUAGAAAAUUCAAUCGCAUUCGGAUAUGGAUGAGGGGAUGGGAGGGAGCACAGCAAACAGGAACAGAGCAGAGCUCUUCAAAGGGGUCCAAGCUGGGGGUUGUCGCUGUUUGAAGAUCACUUGGGGUUUCUUCUUGGACAUUGUCUUAGAGCUGCUGCAGCAAAUGACCACAAACUUGGGACUUAAAACAACAGAAAUGCAUUCUCCCCCAGUUCUGGGGCCUGAAGUCUGAAACCAGCGUCAGCAGUGCCCGUGCCCUUGCAGGCUCUAGAGGGAGACCCUUCCUUGCCUCCUCCAGCUCCUGGCAUUCGUUGGCUUGUGGCUGCGUCACUCCAGUCUCUGCCUCUGUCUUCACAUCGCCUUCUUCCUGUUUCUGG
rnacentral:lncRNA from 1 species